UAAUUUUCCAAAUUGAAAACCCUAAGUUCCUAAUCAGAAACCCUAACCCUCCCCCCCACUCUCCUCAGCAACAGCCGUCAUCCACACUUCCCUUCCUUUCCCUAACGGUCAUACAACACACACCUAGCUGAGAAAGAAAGGCAGAAAUGGAAAGGGAGAAGAGAGAGAGCUCGGAAUUGGAGGAGAAGAGGGAGCCGUCGCCACGCAGCCGCCGUCCUGUCGCAAUCGCCGUCGUGGGGGAAGACCAGAGCCGAGGCAGGGAGCAGCACCGAGAGGGAGAGAGGCCGCCAUCACGUCCUGUUCACCGUCGUCGUCGAUCUGCCCUGGAGCCACUAUGUCACGUGUCGCCGACGAAGAAUAGAGAGGGAGACGCACGAAGAAGAGAAGCCCGUGACCAUCCUUGUCGCCGUCAGCGCCGCGGGUUGCCGUCACCAUAUUCGUGAGCUGCCACCGCGUCACCGUUAUUGAGCUGCAGCGCCGCCGUUGUCGCACUCUGCUACUGUCGCGUCUCACCAAGCCACCGCUGGAAGAGGAGGGCUCGCCAGUUCUGCCUUUGCUUCUAGUUUCGCCACCGCCACUGCUGGAACUGUUGGUUUUUUGCUUUGGCCUUGCUUUAGAUCCACUCUGAAGCGUUACCAUCGCCGUUUGGCUAACACUGAGGCUUUCCACUGCCACCGAAACUGCCCAUGACCACCACUGUGGCUGCCAUGGGAACAGAACGGUUGCCAAAAUUUGACAGAAUGCCGCUGUUAUCGAUUAGAGAUGCCAAAAACUAUUGCUGCUGCUGUGGAGUUGGAAUACUGGGUGUGUCGCGUUUAAAUUCUGCAAAUUUCGACACUCUCAGUGACACAGGUUUGAAGACUCAGUUUGAAGCUGCGGGUGAUUGUUAGACCUUAUCUAUAUGAGUUUUGUUUAUGAGUUAAGUUUCUUUCAUAGAGUUCCCUCGCCUUUGUAGCUUUAGUUUUUAUUUUAUGCAGAGGGAUAGGAGUUGUAUCUGAAUUUUAUUUAAAAUUCUCUUGUAUAAUGUUUAUUAUUAUUAAUAAGUUUAUGAUUAUUAUCA